AGGAUUCCCCUAGUAACUGCGAGUGAAGCGGGAAAAGCUCAAAUUUGAAAUCUGGCAGUCUUGGACUGUCCGAGUUGUAAUCUAGAGAAGUGUUACCUGUGCUGGACCGUGUAAAAGUCUUCUGGAAUGAAGCAUCAUAGAGGGUGAGAAUCCCGUCUUUGACACGGACUGCUGGUGCGUGAUGGUGCGCUCUCAAAGAGUCGAGUUGUUUGGGAUUGCAGCUCAAAAUGGGUGGUAAAUGCCAUCUAAAGCUAAAUAUUGGCGAGAGACCGAUAGCGAACAAGUACCGUGAGGGAAAGAUGAAAAGUACUUUGGAAAGAGAGUUAAACAGUAUGUGAAAUUGCUGAAAGGGAAACGCUUGAAGUCAGUCAUGUCGGCUAGGAAUCAGCCUCGCUUUUGCGUGGUGCAUUUUUCUUGUCGAUGGGUCAGCAUCAAUUCUGAUCAUUGGAAAAAGACUUUGGGAAUGUGGCAUCUUUGGAUGUGUUAUAGCCCAUUGUCGUAUACAGUGAUGGGGAUUGAGGAACUCAGCACACCGCAAGGCCGGGUCUCGACCACGUUUGUGCUUAGGAUGCUGGCAUAAUGGCUUUAAUCGACCCGUCUUGAAACACGGACCAAGGAGUCUAACAUGCCUGCGAGUGUUUGGGUGGAAAACCCAUGCGCGCAAUGAAAGUGAAAAGUUGAGAUCCCUGC
rnacentral:rRNA from 1 species